AGCCUUCAAAUUGGGAACCCAUCAACAAAAUCGUCAGCAUUCAUAACCUCAAAAGUGCGACUAGUCGUGUUACCCGGGAGUGGAACUCGAAAUCACGAGCCGGCCGUACAAAUAUGCCGAGCUACUACACAAAUGUUGCAAGAAAAGUAGGAGUCGAUGGAAUUUGAGGAGACGAUGGAGGUAGUAGAGAAGGUGGAAAUCAAUGAGAGGCUUGCAAAGGAACUCCAUUUUGCAACAAAUAAUAAGCACACCGCUGAGGAUUCCUCCGUAGCAGCAACUAUAAAAUUUGGGACCUCCAGAAAGUGUCUAAUGAAAACUCUAAAAUCACAAUGAGACGAAGAAAGCUGAGGAUAUCUAACGUCGGCAGACUUUGUAAACGUUCAAGUUUGAGAAGAAAAAUGUGACAAAUCAAAAAAGGCUAUUGUAAGGAAAGUCAAUAAAAUUUUUUAACCAUUUUAAA